UACGUAGGGUGCGAGCGUUAAUCGGAAUACUGGCGUAAAGCGUGCGCAGGCGGUGAUGUAAGACCGAUGUGAAAUCCCCGGCUUAACCUGGGAACUGCAUUGUGACUGCAUCGCUCGAGUAUGGCAGAGGGGGGGUAGAAUUCCACGUGUAGCAGUGAAAUGCGUAGAGAUGUGGAGGAAUACCGAUGGCGAAGGCAGCCCCCCCUGGGUCAAUACUGACGCUCAUGCACGAAAGCGUGGG
rnacentral:rRNA from 1 species